CUCUACCUAGGGCGAUAAAGUGAGACUCAAAAAGAAAAAAGGUGGUAUGACUUCAUGUCUUGAAGUAUAUAAAAUCAAAUAGCAAGUGAAUUUAAAAUUUAAAGGCUUGAAGGAAUGGGGAAGUGUGGUGUGAGCUUUAAUUGUGCCAGUCCCUAGAGCAUUUCAUUUUCACUACCUGAAAAAGACUGGAUAAACUUAGAGAAAACUUAUCUCACUUAAAGACCUUAUUUUGGAGUAUGUAGUGGGAAGAGAGAGGACUUGGGUGCUGUUGUCAUUCCAAAUGUACCUGUCAAGGUUUGCAUAUGGCUCUAUGCACAAAUAAAAACCAAUAUAAUGGCUUCUGAAGAGCAGACAUCUUUAGGUUUCAUAACUAAUUCUGUUUAUGAGGAAAAAGUUGAUAAAACAAGGAAAGGAAAUAUAUCUCAAAUUAGCUGUGUAGAUAGAUGGCAAGGCUAAGGCAUAAUAUUUUAUUUCACAUGACUUUAUGGCAUAGGGGAAGAAACAUUUCUAUGGAAACUUACCCUUUAAGAAACAAGGAUAUGCAGAGAUUAGAGUGCUUUAUCCCUUAAGGGUUUAUCAGAUAAUAGGUGGCUUACAACAUAUAGGACUUAAUUACUCCUAGAAAAAGAACAGGUACCAAGCAUUUAAGUGACAGAUUUUAAAGUGAACAAUAGAAACUUACUACUAGUGUUUGCCUAUUAUGAUCAUAGUAGCCUUCUUAAGAUAGAAAUACUCUGUCCUUGCUCUAGAAAAUAAGAGUGAGGUGGAUGCAGUGGUUGAAAAGCACUGAAAUAUAUGCAACACAUUGAUCUGUAAUGUUCACAUUACAAACUUUAAAAUGUAACACUUUCAUGAUAAAAACUUACUUUGUCCCAUUUUCCCUUUUAAGGAAAAAGUUUGAAAACAUUUUAAAAUGGAACUUACUGUGCAAAGUAAGAUGUGUAAACUACCAGUAUUUGGGUGGUAGAGGAUAUUGGUAUAUUAUAUUGAUUUGACGACAUGACUACUGGACUAUUUUAAGAUGCUUCCAGAAAAUAAUUUUAUUCUAGAGGACCAGUACAAAUCAGAAUUACAGCAAUCGUUUUAAUUUUUCUACUUUCCUUGUUAAGGUCUUCUGCUUACCCCCCAAAUAGUGUAUAUCUUAACAUGACUUUUAAAGGGGUGACUUGACCCCCAUCACAGAUUUUUAUCUAGGAAUAGAAGGAUUCAAACCCUAUUUGAUACCUAGCUCUUUGCUGAAAAGUGCAUAAACAGGAAUCCUGAAUUUAUUAUAUAGACCUCCUCGCAUAAUAUAAUCGAAGCAAAGGGAAACCAGCGAUGGAGUAGAGGUACGUAGACUAAAGAGAUGCUUGCAAAUCAAAUAAUGGUCCCAGGGAUAGUCACAGUUUCUUGUUGACAAACUCAGUCAAUAUAAAUCAGAAAUCCAUAGAAAAGCUAGUUAAUUUUAAAUUCCCUAAGGUCCUUUUACUGAGCUGGAACAGUGAGUAGUCAAGGAAAAGCAAAGAGGGAGGGGCAAGGGAAGGGGGAAAUGCAUAAAGAACUAGAAAGAUUUUUAAAAGUAGAUAUGAUAGAUAAGCCAAAAAAGUUUUUAAGACGACUAAUGACCACAAUUCUAUUUUAAUCAGCUAUUUAGCUGGUACCUACUGCUAUAUCACCUAGUGUGAAAUUUCGGAAUUAAUGGAACAAUGAAGGAAGCAUUGCACUGGAGGCGUGGAAGGUGGGCAUGGAAGGUCUCCAGUUUACACAAGCACUCUUCUGUGAAAAGUGAACUAACCUUGUUACUGGUGAAGGUGUUGGAAAUUUUACCAGCUGAGAUUUCUCUUACCCAGGGUAAGAUGCAAAUUGCAGUAUACUAGAGCUAGAGGGGACUUGACUUAAAUCUGAUAAGCCCAGUUGUACAUGUUACUACAUUAAAACAUCUUUCCGUAUCUGUCCUCCAGUGCCAUAUCCUCUUAUCCACAGAUUCAGCUGACUGCAGAUUGUGAAGGUAUUGGGAAAACCAAACAGUAACAAUGCAGCAACAAAAAAAUAUAAAAUAUAACCACUAUUAGCAUUUACAUUGUAUAUUUGGUAUUUUAAGUAAUCUAGAAAUGAUUUGAAGUAUAUGGGAGGCUGGAUAUAGCAGUGUAUGCCUGUAAUCCCAUCUGCUCGGGAGGCUGAGGCAGGAGGAUUGCUUGAGUCUACGAGUUUGGAAUUAGCAUGCCUAGCACAGGCAACAAAGUGACACAUUGCCUUAAAAAAAACCCCUGUGGGAGGAUGUGCAAAUGCUAUAAGGGACUUGGGUAUGUGCUGCAGAUACCCAGGGAUGGACUCCAUACAGAAACUGAGCAUGUGUGGUCUGUCCAUACAGUCUGUUAAAUACCAGGUUAUUGUGUAGUGUCCAUCACGUUUUCCCUCAUUCAUGCAGUGUUGCCUAUCAUUUAGAAUUUUAAACAGUUAAUUUGGCUGUGGCCAACUUGAAUAAUGUAGACUGCACUCAGCUUUGGUUUGUGCCAGUGAGAGUGGACAGAUCUUGCAAAAUUGUGUUCUUCUUUCUGUUUAACCUUUUCUUAUCAAAGUCCAAAUCCCUUUUGUAAUUGCCAAAUUGGAAUCAGUAAAAAUUUUCUCUCUUAGAAA